rnacentral:rRNA from 1 species
CGCUGGCGGUAUGCUUAACACAUGCAAGUCGAACGGUAGCAGGCCUUCGGGCGCUGACGAGUGGCGGACGGGUGAGUAACGCGUAGGAAUCUGCCUCAUAGUGGGGGACAACGUGGGGAAACUCACGCUAAUACCGCAUACGCCCUACGGGGGAAAGCGGGGGAUCUUCGGACCUCGCGCUAUGAGAUGAGCCUGCGUUAGAUUAGCUAGUUGGUAGGGUAAAGGCCUACCAAGGCGACGAUCUAUAGCUGGUCUGAGAGGACGAUCAGCCACACUGGGACUGAGACACGGCCCAGACUCCUACGGGAGGCAGCAGUGGGGAAUAUUGGACAAUGGGCGCAAGCCUGAUCCAGCAAUACCGCGUGUGUGAAGAAGGCCUUAGGGUUGUAAAGCACUUUCAAUUGGGAGGAAAACCUGUCGGUCAAUACCCGGCAGCUUGACAUUACCUUUAGAAG